UACGGGGGGGGGUAAGCGUUGUUCGGAAUUACUGGGCGUAAAGGGCUCGUAGGCGGCCAACUAAGUCAGACGUGAAAUCCCUCAGCUUAACUGGGGAACUGCGUCUGAUACUGGAUGGCUUGGAUUCGGGAGAGGAAUGCGGAAUUCCAGGUGUAGCGGUGAAAUGCGUAGAUAUCUGGAGGAACACCGGUGGCGAAGGCGGCGUCCUGGACCAACACUGACACUGAGGAGCGAAAGCCAGGGGAGCAAACGGG
rnacentral:rRNA from 1 species